UCGGACGGUCUGGUGCGCUUGAU
rnacentral:miRNA from 1 species